AAACUUCACAAUGGAGGCAACUCCGAUGAGGGAAUUCCAAGUGCUAGCACAUUAGUGUUAGCUUUUCUUAAGCAUAGAUAACUUAAGGAAUAAGGGCUGGGUAAGACGGGUGCCAGCCGCCGCGGUAAUACCCGCAGCCCAAGUGGUGGUCGAUUUUAUUGAGUCUAAAACGUUCGUAGCCGGUUCAUUAAAUCCUUGGGUAAAUCGGAUGGCUUAACUAUCCGAAUUCCGGGGAGACUGGUGGACUUGGGACCGGGAGAGGCAAGAGGUACUUUUGGGGUAGGGGUAAAAUCCUGUAAUCCUAAAAGGACCACCGGUGGCGAAGGCGUCUUGCUAGAACGGAUCCGACGGUGAGGGACGAAGCCCUGGGUCGCAAACGGGAUUAGAUACCCCGGUAGUCCAGGUGUAAACGCUGCAGACUUGGUGUUGGGACCUUCGGGGUGGUUCAGUGCCGGAGAGAAGUGUUAAGUCUGCUACUUGGGAGUACGUCCGCAGGAUGAAACUUAAAGGAAUU
rnacentral:rRNA from 1 species